UGGGUAAUCUGCCCUGCACUUCGGGAUAAGCCUGGGAAACUGGGUCUAAUACCGGAUAUGAGCUCUGGCCGCAUGGUCUGGGGUUGGAAAGUUUUUCGGUGCAGGAUGAGCCCGCGGCCUAUCAGCUUGUUGGUGGGGUAAUGGCCUACCAAGGCGACGACGGGUAGCCGGCCUGAGAGGGUGAUCGGCCACACUGGGACUGAGACACGGCCCAGACUCCUACGGGAGGCAGCAGUGGGGAAUAUUGCACAAUGGGCGGAAGCCUGAUGCAGCGACGCCGCGUGGGGGAUGACGGUCUUCGGAUUGUAAACCCCUUUCAGUAGGGACGAAGCGCAAGUGACGGUACCUGCAGAAGAAGCACCGGCCAACUACGUGCCAGCAGCCGCGGUAAUACGUAGGGUGCGAGCGUUGUCCGGAAUUACUGGGCGUAAAGAGCUCGUAGGCGGUUUGUCACGUCGUCUGUGAAAUCCUCCAGCUUAACUGGGGGCGUGCAGGCGAUACGGGCAGACUUGAGUACUACAGGGGAGACUGGAAUUCCUGGUGUAGCGGUGAAAUGCGCAGAUAUCAGGAGGAACACCGGUGGCGAAGGCGGGUCUCUG
rnacentral:rRNA from 1 species